AGCGUACACGGUGGAUGCCCUGGCAGUCAGAGGCGAUGAAGGACGUGCUAAUCUGCGAUAAGCGUCGGUAAGGUGAUAUGAACCGUUAUAACCGGCGAUUUCCGAAUGGGGAAACCCAGUGUGUUUCGACACACUAUCAUUAACUGAAUCCAUAGGUUAAUGAGGCGAACCGGGGGAACUGAAACAUCUAAGUACCCCGAGGAAAAGAAAUCAACCGAGAUUCCCCCAGUAGCGGCGAGCGAACGGGGAGCAGCCCAGAGCCUGAAUCAGUGUGUGUGUUAGUGGAAGCGUCUGGAAAGGCGCGCGAUACAGGGUGACAGCCCCGUACACAAAAAUGCACAUGCUGUGAGCUCGAUGAGUAGGGCGGGACACGUGGUAUCCUGUCUGAAUAUGGGGGGACCAUCCUCCAAGGCUAAAUACUCCUGACUGACCGAUAGUGAACCAGUACCGUGAGGGAAAGGCGAAAAGAACCCCGGCGAGGGGAGUGAAAAAGAACCUGAAACCGUGUACGUACAAGCAGUGGGAGCCUCUUUAUGGGGUGACUGCGUACCUUUUGUAUAAUGGGUCAGCGACUUAUAUUCUGUAGCAAGGUUAACCGAAUAGGGGAGCCGAAGGGAAACCGAGUCUUAACUGGGCGUUAAGUUGCAGGGUAUAGACCCGAAACCCGGUGAUCUAGCCAUGGGCAGGUUGAAGGUUGGGUAACACUAACUGGAGGACCGAACCGACUAAUGUUGAAAAAUUAGCGGAUGACUUGUGGCUGGGGGUGAAAGGCCAAUCAAACCGGGAGAUAGCUGGUUCUCCCCGAAAGCUAUUUAGGUAGCGCCUCGUGAAUUCAUCUCCGGGGGUAGAGCACUGUUUCGGCAAGGGGGUCAUCCCGACUUACCAACCCGAUGCAAACUGCGAAUACCGGAGAAUGUUAUCACGGGAGACACACGGCGGGUGCUAACGUCCGUCGUGAAGAGGGAAACAACCCAGACCGCCAGCUAAGGUCCCAAAGUCAUGGUUAAGUGGGAAACGAUGUGGGAAGGCCCAGACAGCCAGGAUGUUGGCUUAGAAGCAGCCAUCAUUUAAAGAAAGCGUAAUAGCUCACUGGUCGAGUCGGCCUGCGCGGAAGAUGUAACGGGGCUAAACCAUGCACCGAAGCUGCGGCAGCGACGCUUAUGCGUUGUUGGGUAGGGGAGCGUUCUGUAAGCCUGUGAAGGUGUGCUGUGAGGCAUGCUGGAGGUAUCAGAAGUGCGAAUGCUGACAUAAGUAACGAUAAAGCGGGUGAAAAGCCCGCUCGCCGGAAGACCAAGGGUUCCUGUCCAACGUUAAUCGGGGCAGGGUGAGUCGACCCCUAAGGCGAGGCCGAAAGGCGUAGUCGAUGGGAAACAGGUUAAUAUUCCUGUACUUGGUGUUACUGCGAAGGGGGGACGGAGAAGGCUAUGUUGGCCGGGCGACGGUUGUCCCGGUUUAAGCGUGUAGGCUGAUUUUCCAGGCAAAUCCGGAAAAUCAAGGCUGAGGCGUGAUGACGAGGCACUACGGUGCUGAAGCAACAAAUGCCCUGCUUCCAGGAAAAGCCUCUAAGCAUCAGGUAACAUCAAAUCGUACCCCAAACCGACACAGGUGGUCAGGUAGAGAAUACCAAGGCGCUUGAGAGAACUCGGGUGAAGGAACUAGGCAAAAUGGUGCCGUAACUUCGGGAGAAGGCACGCUGAUAUGUAGGUGAAGUCCCUCGCGGAUGGAGCUGAAAUCAGUCGAAGAUACCAGCUGGCUGCAACUGUUUAUUAAAAACACAGCACUGUGCAAACACGAAAGUGGACGUAUACGGUGUGACGCCUGCCCGGUGCCGGAAGGUUAAUUGAUGGGGUCAGCGCAAGCGAAGCUCUUGAUCGAAGCCCCGGUAAACGGCGGCCGUAACUAUAACGGUCCUAAGGUAGCGAAAUUCCUUGUCGGGUAAGUUCCGACCUGCACGAAUGGCGUAAUGAUGGCCAGGCUGUCUCCACCCGAGACUCAGUGAAAUUGAACUCGCUGUGAAGAUGCAGUGUACCCGCGGCAAGACGGAAAGACCCCGUGAACCUUUACUAUAGCUUGACACUGAACAUUGAGCCUUGAUGUGUAGGAUAGGUGGGAGGCUUUGAAGUGUGGACGCCAGUCUGCAUGGAGCCGGCCUUGAAAUACCACCCUUUAAUGUUUGAUGUUCUAACGUGGACCCGUAAUCCGGGUUGCGGACAGUGUCUGGUGGGUAGUUUGACUGGGGCGGUCUCCUCCUAAAGAGUAACGGAGGAGCACGAAGGUUGGCUAAUCCUGGUCGGACAUCAGGAGGUUAGUGCAAUGGCAUAAGCCAGCUUGACUGCGAGCGUGACGGCGCGAGCAGGUGCGAAAGCAGGUCAUAGUGAUCCGGUGGUUCUGAAUGGAAGGGCCAUCGCUCAACGGAUAAAAGGUACUCCGGGGAUAACAGGCUGAUACCGCCCAAGAGUUCAUAUCGACGGCGGUGUUUGGCACCUCGAUGUCGGCUCAUCACAUCCUGGGGCUGAAGUAGGUCCCAAGGGUAUGGCUGUUCGCCAUUUAAAGUGGUACGCGAGCUGGGUUUAGAACGUCGUGAGACAGUUCGGUCCCUAUCUGCCGUGGGCGCUGGAGAACUGAGGGGGGCUGCUCCUAGUACGAGAGGACCGGAGUGGACGCAUCACUGGUGUUCGGGUUGUCAUGCCAAUGGCACUGCCCGGUAGCUAAAUGCGGAAGAGAUAAGUGCUGAAAGCAUCUAAGCACGAAACUUGCCCCGAGAUGAGUUCU
rnacentral:rRNA from 1 species